rnacentral:rRNA from 1 species
UACGUAGGGUGCGAGCGUUAAUCGGAAUUACUGGGCGUAAAGCGUGCGCAGGCGGUUCGCUAAGACCGAUGUGAAAUCCCCGGGCUUAACCUGGGAACGUGCAUUGGUGACUGGCGGCGUAGAGUAUGGCAGAGGGGGGUAGAAUUCCACGUGUAGCAGUGAAAUGCGUAGAGAUGUGGAGGAAUACCGAUGGCGAAGGCAGCCCCCUGGGCCAUACUGACGCUCAUGCACGAAAGCGUGGGGAGCAAACAGGAUUAGAAC